UCCCGGCGGCCAUGCUCCCCAGACCUUCUGUUGGCACAGGACAGGAACCAUCCCCGAAGACAACUCAUCAGACAUGAAAGGGACUGGUCAGUGGGUGGGAGAGAGAUGCUGAUGAAGAGUGAGCUAAUUAUAUCAGGUGGACACUUGAGAUUGUGUUGGCAUCUCUUGUCUGGAGGGGGGAUGGGAGGAUAGAGAGAGAGGGAAGCUGGCAAAAUUGUCACGAAAGGAGAGACUGAAAGGACUGACUCAAUAGGGGGAGAGCAAGUGGGAGUACGGAGUAAGGUGUAUGUAAACUUAUAUGUGACAGACUGAUUGGAUUUGUAAACGUUCACUUGAAGCUUAAUAAAAGUUAAUAAAAAAAAAAAAAGUGAAAGAAGCCAGACAUGAAAGGUCACAUAUUAUACGGGAUCAUUUGUGCAAAAAAAAUCCAGAAUAGGUAAAUUCAAAGCAGAAAGCAGAUUACCGUAUUUUCAUGCAAGUAGGGCGUAUCUUCUGUCUUUUCUGUGUUUUCAUAAGCACCUGCCGUGCCAAUUUUUUUUACACAUUGCUAUGGAAAAAAAUAACAUAGUGUGCUUAUGAAAGCAGGGCUGACAAACAAAUGUAGAAGGUGCAAGUUAUUUGUGUAAAAAUAUGGCAGUAGUUGCCAGGGACUAGGGGAAAGAGGAGAUGGGGAGUGACUGUUAAUGGAUACAGAAUUUUCUUUUGGGAUAAUAAAAAUGUUUUGGAGCUGGAUAGAGUUGACAGUUGCACAACAUUGUGUAUGUACUAAAUGCUACUGAGUUGUACACUUGUAAAUGAUUAAUUUUACAUUACGUGAAUUUUACCUCAAUUAAACAAAACUCAUUAAAGGAUAAAGAAAAGGCAGUAAAGUGUGGUGAAGGCAUAGAGGUAGACUGAGACUGAUAAACCAAGUGCCCGGAGCUUUCCGUCUGGCUGUCUUUGAUUCAGUCAUUGAGCACUUUGGGUCUUGCUUCCUCAUCGUGGGCCUGCAGGGGAUCAAAUCUAAUAAGUGGGGAGGAUUAGAUAAUGUCUUUGCAAGAUCCACGAUUCUCUGACAGUGUUAGGAAUCACCUAGUCCAAUUCCCUCACUUAAAAUUGAGGGUAGAUGAGGAGGCUUAGACCCAGAGAAAUAGAGACUUGUCCAGGUUCUCACAACCCUUUUGUCCAGACUGAGGACGAGAACUCUUCCUCUGGACCCCAAGCCCAGUGCUCCUUCUCAUCAGCCCUAAAAAUUGUUGAUAUGUUUGGAAAAUUACAGUGUUUGAGGAAAAAACAUUUAUUUUGGAAAUAUUCAUAUUAAUUGUACAAAUAAUUAACAUAACUAACUCCUGUUCAUUUCUCAUAAGAACUUACUAGAGUAUUAGUUGUAUGCUGUUAUGUAAACUUGCUAUUAAACUAUUUAAAACAUGUUUUCUGCAAACUGGGGUGAUGAUGAUUCAGAGAAACCAAAAAAACCCACUGCUGCCGAGUUGCUUCCGACUCAUUGUGACCCUGUAGCACAGCGUAGAACUGCCCCAUAGAGUUUCCAAGGAGUGCCUGGUGGAUUCGAACUGCGAACCUUUUGGUUAGUAGCCAUAGCACUUAAUCACUACACCACCAGGGUUUCCUGAGUCAGAGAGGUGCUUAUAAUUAGGAGGGAAGAGCAACACAUGUAAAAAUUUGAAGCAUUUAACAUGCUAAAGCCAAAGCAGUAAAAUACCCCCUGAAGUAAUUAAACUCUACUUUGGAGCCCUGGCGGCACAGUGGUUAAGAGAUGGCUGCUAACCAAAAGGGUGGCAGUUUGAAUCCACCAGUCGCUCCUUGGAAACCCUAUGGGGCAGGUCUUCUCUGUCCAAAAGGUCAUUAUGAGUUGGAAUCGACCUGAUGGCAAUGGGUUUGGUUUUUCGGGGGAUGGGUUUGGUUUGGUUUGAUUUGGAAUUGUGUAUUAACUCUCUCGGAUGCUGUUCACAGUUACAAAGUCCUUGCUCUGUCUUUGUGCUUACAGCCUUGAGGGAAUUUUUCCCUAACACAAGACAGAAGUAGCCAGAACAGUGAAACACUCCGUUUGCCCUUCUGCAGCCAGCCCCUCACCAUCUGCCCUAGUUACUCUGGAGUCAUGUGUCCUUUCUCUUCAAAGAGCAGCGUUCCCCUAUUGGGUUAAGCAGCCUGCAGAGGAGUGCAUGGUGAAUAGGAUUUUGAGUCUAGGAUCACUUGUUGAAUAUGCAUAAAGAAAAGAUAUAGCUAUUUAAACAUUUAUAAAAGUAUUAUUUGUGAAUGUUAGUUUCAAAGAGAUGGAAAGUCUAAAACUUCACUUGGUUCUAACUCAUUUUUGUGAGAAAGUUUUUUUUUUUUUACAGCUAAUAACUAUAAGAUGUCUUUUCUAGAUGAAAAUUUGAGAUUUAUGCUCAUAUUUUGGACACUGAAUGAAUUAGAAUUGAUAAACACUAGAGAGAUUCAAAAGAAGCAAGAAUUUUCCAACUAUUGAUAAUUUAUCAAACACUUACUGUAUGAAAGGCACUGGGGUCAAGGUUUAAACAGACAAACAAGAUCAGGACUUUGUCCUUACAGAGCGCAUACUCUAAUAAUUACACAAGUGCUUUACUCCAGCGCAGCACUGCUGGAGCCAGAAAAUGGGAUUGGAUCCUGUGUGAGGAAUCACAAGGGUUUCCAGGAAUAUUGAUGAUGAUCAUGACAAGGGGAAGAGUACUGUUGUUACUACUGCUGAUGAUCUAUCCCAUUGUGCCAAAGAGUUCCUUGCUUGAGAUAUAAUUACACAUAUAUAAAUUAUAUGGAAACCCUGGUGGCGUAGUGGUUAAGUGCUACAGCUGCUAACCAAGAGGUAAGCAGUUCGAAUCUGCCAGGUGCUCCUUGGAAACUCUGUGGGGCGGUUCUACUCUGUUCUAUAGGAUCCCUGUGAUAUAGGGUUGCUAUGAGUUGGAAUUAACUCAUUGGCAGUGGGUUUGGUUUUUUUUUUUUUCUUUUGGUUGUGUGUUGUCAAGUUGAUUCUGACUUAUAUAAAAAUUAUACAUAAUAUAUAUGUACAUAUAUAUAUAUUGCUUAGAUUUAUUCUCAGUGAUCCCACACUCCUCCAUCUUAAUAAACCCAGAAAAUUACCUCAUUAACCAUGAAAACUUUGAGAACUUCAAGAUUACUAUAAAAGCUAGGUAAGAAAGUUAUUAUUUUCAGAUUUACCUAACGCUUGAAUGGCAAACAGAUUUCAUUUCAAGAGUCAGCUGUGACUGACUGGUAGCGCUUGCCAGGGCCCUGUGUUGAGAAAAAUUCUGAGGUUCCAUGUAAAAAAAUCUGUGACAAGUAGUAGUAAUGGGAAGUAGGCUCAGGAACAUUUACCUAAAGUGUAUUUGCUGAUUUCAAUCCUGCUGCUAUUUUAAAAUCUCGUAAGCAAAGGAUCCUAAAGAUUGAAGAUUCUGAUGAAUACUCAGGUAACUACACUGCUCGGGUAUUAAGACUAUGUUAUGAAAACAUUCACUUGUUUUUUAUUUGUUUUUUUAUUUCUAUGUUUUUUUUUUUUUAUUUGUGGCCUCCUUGAUCAUAUAAUUGAUCAUAUCAAUAGGAUCAUACAAUAAUUAAUCACAUCCUGGACUUAAUUAUCAGAGAUGGUUUUAGCAUUUAUUGAACUAACCCAGAAAGCACACUUGGCAGAUGAACUAUUGAAAUUUUCUUUCUAAUGGGGACACAUACCUGUCUGUUUUAUAUGUAAAUAAAGUUCAUGUUUUUCUUUGACUCAUAAGACAAAUACAAGGCUAAACUGAAAAUAACUUGCCUGUGGAUGGACAUGAUGUUGUCCAUUUUACAUGUCCAUGUUACAGUCAUGCAAGGAAUGUGGCCCCUUACAGAGAAACCUGGACCCUAAACUCAGUUCUCUACUAACUUACUAUGAACUUAAGAACUGUGGGCAAUUGGGCAAGUUCCCUGUGGGACUCACUUUUCUCAUUUGUUGGUAGGAAUAAAAAUACCUGCCUUAGCUCUUACAUUAUAGGAUCUAACGCAAUACUAGAAGUUAAUACUGUUUCAAGAGUAAAAAAUAUUAUACCAAAUUUCACAUGGUUAUGUUUUAUCUCUAAUCUCAUUACUGUAAUUGUUUUAUCAAAAAAGGGGGCUGAUUUAUAUUCUGUUUUGACAGAUAUCCUUAUAAUAAGAGUGUAACUGUGGCUGAAGUUUCUGUCUCUUAGAAUAAGAGAAGAUUUAGGUGAUAAUAGAAAAGAAAUGAUGCAUGAAGCAACACAAAAGACAAAGGUAAGAACUGAUGACCCAGACCUUUCAGAAGAAUAUCAGGCCAGCAAUGAUUAUCAAGCAUUAGGCUACUCAUCACACAGCCAAAAUUUCGAUUCCCUUAACUGGACAGACAGUUGUAAGGAUUUGCUUGUGGGAGAACAUCUGAGUAUAACUGUUAUCCCUCAGAGCCCACAUAUAGACAAAAUUACACACUACUAUUACUUGAUUUCGUCUAAGGGCAAAAUUGUACACUUUGGCACAGAGAAGAAACUCCCUGGUUCAUCUUGCCAAUAUUUAAACAUUUCUGUGACUUGGGACAUGGUUCCUAUAGCCCAUCUUCUCGCCUACUGUUACACUGUCAUGGGAAAGCAGACAGCAGAAUUGGUGUCUGACUCAAUCUGCCUGCACAGUGAGGCAAAACGUGGCAACCAGCUCCAGAUCCUUCUGUCUCCAAAUAAAGAUAUACAUUUUCCGGGGCAAGCUAUAUCUCUUAUUCUGGAAACUGAGAAGCAUGGGUGGCUGUAUCAGCUGUGGAUAGUGCUGGACGUGGCAGCCAAAGAAGAACCCUGGAAAGAGGAAGGGAUAUGACUGAAGAUGCUGGGGCUCUGAUGAGCUGAGUGUAUUGAAUCCACUGGAGAGAUGAUGGCCCAAGGAGUGAAGAGCAGGGGCACAGUGUGGGGAGGCCAUGUGGAUACACGUGAAAAAGAACUUGGAGCUGUAGAUAAAAGUGACCAGUGCAGUGGGGCAGGUGGUGGCAGGAACAAUGCUGAAGUGUUCCACUUGGCAGGACUCACCAUCCUCACCAAUGUGAAUGCAGAUGACUCCCAAGAAAAUGAUGGGCCUUCAAAGAAAAUUCCCAGAACAGGAAAAGAAUGGAAAGGGAAAAUAGAAGAUCUAGCUCCAGCUCUACUUAGCAGCUGUAACCAUUUGGACAAGUCCUUCCCGUUCUCCACACCUCCAUUUCCUCAUUUCUAAAUAACAGAGAUGACAUGAUCAAUUCUAAAAUUCGCUUCAGUGGCUUUUCGGAAAGCAAGAGAGCGAUCUAAAUAAUUGCCUUGAUUUUCUGUACCCCUUCAGCCUUCAUACUGAUUGAAGAUUAAGAGUACCUUGACGAAGUGAGUGUUUGUCCAAUGGGGGUGAUUGUAUGAGGUUUUAAAAAUCAACUAUAUCAAAUGAAAAAAAAUGUCUAAAUAAGAAGGUCCCAGGAUGUUUAACAGAGGAAGAGUAAGAAUUAAAUGGCUAUGAUGACUGUCUUCAAAUAUAUAAGGAACUCAACAAUUAUGUGAUUUUUUUUUUUUUCCUGCACAAGAGAGUUAACCCCCUGAGCACUAGUAAUAGAAGUUGGAUUUUGGUUUAGAAGACAUCAGAAAGAAUUUUCCAGCAAUUAGAGCUCUGUGAAAUGGAACAAGCUGCCUGGGGAGGAGGCAAUUGCCCCAUUACUGGAGCUAUUGCAGUAGGGACUGCUCAAGCACUGUCACUAAAUGGGGUGGGUACAGCAGAGGGCACGAGGGGGGAAAGUUAGACCAGAGCCUCUAAGUCCAGCCCUGAGCCUUUGAUUCUGUGCUUGGCUAAGAGCGGUUGUAUUAUCAUCUCAGCAUCCACAUUCAAACAUCCCCUGGUCCAGAAGUGCUGUUUUGAUGGAGCCCAUCAAAGGGAGGAGAGCUGCAAGCAGUGAGCUGCACGGGUUACCCUCGGCCCUAAUUGUUCCAGACCUUUCUCUAAGUGCUGUACCCUGGCAACUCAGCUGUGGGAAGAGACUUCUUUCACCUCUGCAUUCAUACUUGGGGAGGGUUUUCCAGUAAUGAACACAAUACAAGUUAAACAGAAAAACAGCAUUUCUUUAGAAAACUGGUUAUGGAAUGUCUAUCAUGUUCCUAAAAGGUAUUCAAAGACUUUAUCUAUUUUUUCCUUAGGAAAUUUUGAAAAUAUUCAAAUAUGAUGAACAAAUCGUCUACAACUCUUCUAAGGGUUUCUUUGAUAAUUAAAGAUAGCAUUAACAUUUGGUCAAGGUUACUUGGUUGGUUUUUCCUUCAGUAUAUAGAUUAGCUGAAGAAUUAAUAAUCCUUUCAGAAGAACGCCAUUUCAGUUCUCUAGAACUUUUACUCAGCGUAUACUUUGGGAUGAUAUUUGUACUUUGUACUUUUACAUUAUGAUUUCAGUCUUUCUAAACAACUGCUCUGUAACAAACCCUCUAGCAACAUAUUUUGUCUAUUUGGGCAUGUUUGUCCGAUGAUACUUAUCCAUAUAACAAAUAAAAGGAGGUAAUAUUUUCCUUACAUAAUAAACACACACUAUAAAACAUUGACUAAGCCUAAGGCCUGAGGACUGGUCUGCUUUUGUUAAUUGAUCAUGACUUACCUGGUGUAUAACAGCCUCUCUUACUCUCCCUGACUCUAGACUUGUUCCUUAUCUCUCCCCUAUUUCAUUCUCCAAACAUGGCCACUCAAAUGAUUAUAUUAAAAUCCAAAUCUGAUCCUGCCACUUUCCCACCUAAAUCCACUUUUCUAUGCCUUAUUCAGCAAAAUCUACGUGGAUUAAAAGACCCUCAUUCACUGGCUCUUGCCUACAGUCCAACGUCCCCUCCCAACGGCCCUUGCCACCAUCCCUCUCUGUUCCAGCAGUACACACUCUUUCUUAAUGCUUCUCCUAAAUCAACAUGCUGUUUGCAGUCUUCAUACCUUUUCCUGGAGCCCUUCUUUCUAAACCCCCACUUUUUUUUUUUUUAUUAACUUUUAUUGAGCUUCAAGUGAACGUUUACAAAUCAAGUCAGACUGUCACAUAUAAGUUUAUAUACACCUUACUCCGUACUCCCACUUGCUCUCCCCCUAAUGAGUCAGCCCUUCCAGUCUCUCCUUUCGUGACAAUUUUGCCAGCUUCCAACUCUCUCUAUCCUCCCAUCCCCCCUCCAGACAGGAGAUGCCAACACAGUCUCAAGUGUCCACCUGAUAUAAUUAGCUCACUCUUCAUCAGCAUCUC